UGGGGAAUAUUGGACAAUGGGCGAAAGCCUGAUCCAGCCAUGCCGCGUGUGUGAAGAAGGUCUUCGGAUUGUAAAGCACUUUAAGUUGGGAGGAAGGGCAGUUACCUAAUACGUGAUUGUUUUGACGUUACCGACAGAAUAAGCACCGGCUAACUCUGUGCCAGCAGCCGCGGUAAUACAGAGGGUGCAAGCGUUAAUCGGAAUUACUGGGCGUAAAGCGCGCGUAGGUGGUUAGUUAAGUUGGAUGUGAAAUCCCCGGGCUCAACCUGGGAACUGCAUUCAAAACUGACUGACUAGAGUAUGGUAGAGGGUGGUGGAAUUUCCUGUGUAGCGGUGAAAUGCGUAGAUAUAGGAAGGAACACCAGUGGCGAAGGCGACCACCUGGACUGGAUA
rnacentral:rRNA from 1 species